rnacentral:misc_RNA from 1 species
AACAGUUCUUAGCAGUAUGCGAGGGCUCAACAUAGCCUCAAAACACAACAUAGUCAAUCUUUUGAAUCCUGGUUCACCAAAAGUUUGUGGAUCAACGAAAUUCAACUAAGCAUAUUUUGUACAGCCACUUGGGACCAAACCAGAGUAAAGAGGGAAAAGGUACAGUUUUUUAUAGGAUAUACAAAUCGCUUGUCAACCACCGAAAAGAGGGCAACUGAACUCCACUUGCCUAUAAACUUCAUUAUCACCACAAUGCUAUAUUUAAAGAUCAGUAGCAAUGAAAGAAAUCUCCACAUUUACAGCUCUAUCCACAUAUCAACAAUAAAUUGCCAACUGUACUGAAGAUGAAAACCCUAGCGGUGGAUCCAGAUAGUCCCAUCAGACAAGGAUAGUCUGAUGCUGUAGUGCCUUUGAUGCUACUUCAGCAAAGCACUGUGCUGCCUCUGCUUCCGCUUCAUACUCCUCUGCAAUCCUUGCUGCCUGUUCUGCCUCAGCAAUGGCAACUUCAGCCUCUGCAACUGCUUGAGCUGCGGCUGCAGCAGCCUCCUCUGCACUCAUGCUCUUCAUUUGCUCUAAGUCCGCAUCAAUCUGUUCUUUAGUCAGUACUCUAGUUUCAUUCUUUUCUACCAUAGUGGAAUCAAGCUUUCCGCCCAUAGGCAAAGAGAAAGGGCCUCCCUUGCCAUCAGAUGAUGCUCUAUUCGGUGCAAUCCUGUAGUGAUGCUUUACCUUUAUCAGUCUUCCUUUUUCAGUCAACACCUUCAAAUUUGCUGCCAACAGCCUUUCAAAGUUUAGAGGUGCUACGUACCGCUCCACUACCAAUUCCCUGAGACCUUUGGCCGUCUCAAUGACCAAGUUGAGCCAGUUUCCAGUUGGCACAUAACCUUUCCCUAGUACAUUUUACCGGUUUCCACCUUUCCUCUUCUGUUUGAUACUUCUUAU